AUUGAACGCUGGCGGCAGGCCUAACACAUGCAAGUCGAACGAGUGGCGGACGGGUGAGUAAUGUCUGGGAAACUGCCUGAUGGAGGGGGAUAACUACUGGAAACGGUAGCUAAUCCCGCAUACCAUCGGAUGUGCCCAGAUGGGAUUAGCUUGUAGGUGGGGUAACGGCUCACCUAGGCGACGAUCCCUAGCUGGUCUGAGAGGAGGACGAGCAAAACUGGAACUGAGACACGGUCCAGAUGCCUACGGGAGGCAGAAGUGGGGAAUAUUGCACAAUGGGCGAAAGCCGGAGGCAGCCAGGUGGGGGGUAUGAAGAAGGCCUGCGGGUUGUAAAGUACUUUCAGCGGGGAGGCGUUACCCGCAGAAGAAGCACCGGCUAACUCCGUGCCAGCAGCCGCGGUAAUUC
rnacentral:rRNA from 1 species